rnacentral:snRNA from 1 species
AAAUAUGAGAGUAAUCUGGCUGCAACAUCUGUCACCUCAUUAAUGGCCAGGAUUGAUUCACCUAAUCUGGAUGACUUGGCAGGUGUCUUUUCCAGCCUCACUACUCCAUGUGUGUCCUUUCGGAAGCUACUUGCUAGGUUGAAGAAGAUGACCUUCCCAAACAGAGAACCAUUCUUCACUGAAGGGUACACAAGCAGCUAUGUUCCCCUGCUAGAACCUCUAAAUAUGCUGUCAAGGAUAUAGGUCCAAGUGGUAAGACUUCAGAAGUAAAAGGCAGAAAGAAAUAAUCAAAGGAUCCUAUGAAGAGCAAUUCAGUGGAGUAUCAUUACUUCCUUU